UUGAGAUAAACAGGCAGAGAGAGCAAGAGAGAGAGAGAGAGAAAGAGUCUGCGGAGAUAUUGAGGCAGACUUUUGUUAACAGCCACGAAGAAUGGAAAAAAUCUCGGAUUAAUUCGACGUGCCGCUUUCCACAUUCGAGGGGGAUUUUUCUACAUAUAUUUUUCUUUUCAGGAGGCUCUUGGCAGAACGAAGUGUCGAAACCGCGACCGAAUCUCAGCGUCGCAAAUUGAUCCAAGAGAUGCAUGUCAAAAGUAAAACCAUUGAAUUCAAUGGGACUCAUUCCCAGAUGACUGAAAGGCCUCUAACUCCAUCUGGAAAUUGUUGCUGAAAUAUAGACCAAGAUUGCAGCGUGCCAUUGGGCCCCACUACUCACAAGGUGUGUCCUGACAUUCAAAUUCAUUGGAACAAUUGCAUAGGGCUUUCUAGUUUCACAAAGUGUGCACCACUAUUCUUAUGGGCAUAAGGUAUAAGACAAUAUCCAAGGACAAGUAUCAGGAAUUGACAGCUUCUCACCAAAGUAAACAUUGGAACCUUCUGGUUAUAUGAACAUAGCAACUGGUGUUUUAUUAAUCAGAGUUUAGGGUUAUCAUGUUUUGGGAACCCAGUUCUUGUCCCUGCCUAGUAUCUCAUUUCAGGAUCACGACAGAGAGCUCCCCAUACUCUACUUUGGUAAACAAUCUCAUUCUUUCAGGAACCUAUCUGUGCUACAAGUGAUGUUAUAGACUUGGAGUUUCCAAUCCCAAAUAAGUUGAACUUGAGGAAAAUAUUUGGAUGAAAGCAUGAAAGAAUACAGCCCUAGAAAAAGUUUCUGGCACAGAUUAUGAGUGGGAGAAGAUGACAAAGAAGAAAAAUAAGGUAUAAGAAUAGGUUAUUAUUGCCAAAUAAGGAAUUUGCAUCUCAGUAAGCCAAGCAGAGCAGUAACUCACUUUUUCUGGAAAAAGUAAGCUUUGAUUCACAACUGGAAAUAAAUUCUUUUCUAGAAGACACGAACAUUUUUUAAAAAAAAAUUGAUAUGAAAACUUGUAAUGUGAACUGCAUUAUUUUUUAUGAACUGGAAUGAAAAACAUUUUCUGUUUUAGAGUGAGAUAAAAUGUUACAGGUGUUAAUUAGAUACCUCCUAUGUAAGCAGUGCUAAUUAGAUACCUCCUAUGUAAACAGUGCUUUUAUGCAGUCCAUAUUUUGUCUGAUCAUCAGAAUACCAUCCCCACCUCCUCUCCUGCCUAUAAAAUCAUCUUUAUCCAUCCAUACCUAAGCGUAUAUGUGUAUAUACAUACAUAUAUAUAUACACAUAGAUAUUACUGGAAUACAUUGUGCAUUAGUGCAUUUAGCAAAAGUAGCAAAUUAUAAGUGAUAUACUGCCCCAAUCCUCCCUAACCAUGCACCUGUAUCUUUGGUUGUCCGACAUAACUGAUAAGAAGUACUGGGGCAUGAGUGCCAAUGGCAAGUCUGUUUUUUUUUCUAGGAAACCCAUUUUCCAUUCAAAGUAAAUUUCUAGGAAGCUAUUCUUCAAAAUCCUUAAAAGGCAUCUAUCGUAAUGUCUUGCAACAUGUGCAUGAAUUUCAUGGAUUAAUUGAAGAACGAAUUAAAAGGCAGACAGUUAAUCCAUUUCGCUCCCCCCCCUUUUUUUGAAGUGAUUUGACAGCCAUAGUCAUUUUCUGCAAGAAUCUGACACUGUUUACAUGCUAUUUGAACUGAUCACCAGGCUUUCUAUCCUAAACCCAGCAAGAUGUUUGAUCUUUUUUUUUCUUUUUGUAGAAACAUGAAGCUUACAGAAAAAAAAAAAAAAUCCUGUCCCUCUGAAAGACAAAAAAGAGAAGAGGUCUGAAAUUUGCUGUUCACUGAGGUACUUUGCUACAGUAGAUAAGGAUAAAAAUGUGUUGAAGACCCGCGCCAGGUAUCAAUGAUAGUAUUUUUUUUCUUAACGUUAUCUGGACCAAAAUGGUUAAAAAGUAUUGGUUGCUAAUGCAGCUCUUGUCAUUAUUCUGGAAUAUUGUUUAUAUUUCAGAGAUGUGGAUAAAGUCUUCUGUCACUUCUGGCACCACUAUACCUCCUGGGAGAUUAUGGGGAACUGUGGCUGACACUGGCCAAGUUAGCUUUGAUGGACAUUGUAGAGAGGCAUGGUUCCUGUCAAGAGGAAGGUCAUGUGGGGAAGAGAGAAGAUCUCAAAAGGGUAUUUAGGGUAUUUUUAGAAAACUUCUAGAGGGACUCUUCAGUUCUGAGACAGCUUUGCAAGAGGGAUUCUUAAGGCUGACUCCCUCAAAGUACAAUGGCAAGUCAGAACAAUACAACACGAUACACAAAAAAUGAAAUCUAUAUCAUUAUGUUUCUGGGUUUCUUUUUUCUUACUCAUUUACAAAUGGUCAUUUACUGAUAAUAGUCCAGAUAAGCUACAAAAAGAAGGGAGAAAAAGACAUAUUCAUGCCAGGUAUAAUUAAGCUGUAACCAAGUUAUAGUGGUCAUGGCAACAAAUUUGUUUGUGAGUAAUCAUUCCAUCCAAUCAUUCCAUCAUAUGUAUGUAUUUAUGUACAUAUGUGUAUUCCUGUAAAUGUACAAACUGUUUUUCACUAUGAAUUCCAAAGAAGCAGUACAAAAUAGGAUAAAAGGGCAACACUGUUAAAAUGAUUAAGCCACAACAUUGCAACAUCUUAAGAUCAAGAUAACAAAAAGAGAUAACAUGAGACUCAGCAGCAUAGAUCCAGUUGGAUAAACAAUUAAAUUUUCAGCAGGAACUAAAGUUUUCUAAGACUUGGCAUCAUUUGCAGUUGGACUGGGAGGGAAUUCCAUUUUCAGGACAGUGAGCACUGGCCAAGUUUCAGUGGCGCCAUCAAGAUUGCAACUGCAUUUUAAUGAUGGGUCUGAUAUUCAAGAUAAAAAAAUAUUCAGAUUAAUUAGGUAUCCAAGUUCUAAGCCACAGAGAGCUUUAUAUCAAUAGAAGUACUUUGAACAUAGAUCAGUAACAAAUUAGUGGCAGAGACAGCUACUUAUGUCCUCAGAAACUAGAUAGAGCCUCCACAUAUAUACAGAAGCAUAUCCAGCUGUAUACCAGAAGCUUUUAACAUGAUUUGAGAAAGAAAAAUAAUGCUGAUUUUAUUACAGUUGGGAGGAUUGUAAUCUCUGAAGGUGUUGGCCAGUUUAAAACGCAUGAACUUCAGCUCCCAGAAUUCCCCAUCUAGAGUUGAAGUUGAAUUCUGGAAGUUAAAAUCCAAACAUCUUAAAUUUGCCAAGACCAAGACUAAAAAAAACCAAAACCUUGAAUAAAUCUACUGGAUGAUUUUUAUGAACACUGUAGUCCAGCGUUUUUAUAAGUUAAAAUCUGGCUGCAGCCUUUGUUAGUACAAAGCAAAUGUAUAUCAGAUCAUAAUCUGAUAUCCUCUAGAACUUAUUUUUAUUUUGCUUUCAGAUUCCAGCAGUUUACAGACCGUGGUGCUAUUAAAUCAUCAGAGAUAGUGAGCAAUGCUGUUCCUGCAUAGAGCAACAUUUAAACCUUUUGAUCUUAAACAUUUAUACUUAUAGAGAAGUCUUUAUAUUCAACUCUUUGUUUAGUUUCAUUUUUUUUAAAUGUGAGAAGAAACAAAUUUGAGAUGAGCCCAACUGCAGUCUGAAAUGAUAGAGCUCUGCAAAGGCAGCAUCUUGCCAGCCAUGUGAUAGGCUGUGAGAGAUCAUGCAGGCUCAAUAAUGGAAAUUACUUCACACAUUUUUAAAAAUGACACCGCCAGCUCCUGGAAUGUUUUCUGGACUUCCCAGUCUAACUUACGGUUUUAAGAUUUCCUGAUGGUCUCUCAUUCUAGGACUAAAGCUGAACUCGCUUAGUGUUCCUUAUGGUCAACCAAGCUUGGCCAGAUGCUGCCACCUGUUGGAACUCAGAUUAAAUGUAAACCUCAAGAUACAACCCACAUCACAUAGGUUUUUCACCAGUGGGCCUGAUUGUAGGUGAAAGGUGGGGAGGUAUGUUUUGAAAUCUUUUUAGUGCCAGGCAAAGAUUUUUUGAAAAACAAUCUCAUGGAUUAAUCCUUUUUAAAAACAUGUAAGUCCUUCUAAUUUUUUUACUGUGAAUUUUAAGCUUGUUUUCCAUUUUCUAGUUACAUAAGGUUUGAAGUGCUUCCUGUAUGCUACCUAGGUAACUUUUAGUUAAUGUUGGAUGUUUUGAAAAAAGCAUGCAAAUACAUUUUUUUAAAAAAAUCUCUGUCUACUCUAACAUGAGAAUAACAGGAGUGGAAAGCUUUCACUCAAUUUUUUGUAAAUGCCCCUUCCCCAUGAAGUGCUGCUCCUGUCACCAGCAAGACAAAUUGGAACCUGCCCCUUCACGGAUCAGAAACAAAUGGCCACACUCUUGACAGGAUGUAGUAAUAAGGAGAUUAAUUCACCUCACAAGUGGCUUCUGAGGGGAAAUCCUUAACUCAAUCGGAGGAAACCCAUGGCCAGCAAAAUUCUGCCUAGUUUUCUUCUGCUUCAGCCAAGCUCAGCAUUUUGCUGACACAAAUGAUAUUUUUUUCAGUAAUCUCCAAAUGUUUAUUAUUCAAGCAGAGAAUUUUUUUGUUGGAAUUAAAUUAAAGGUAAAUCUACCAUCAUAUUUCUCCACUCUUGCCACUUCAGCCAACUGAAGUUACCAUUUAUGUGGUAACAGAUCACUUGGCAUUGCUUCACCUGCAUGUUUUCCCUACCUUUUAUAUUCAUUCAUUCAUUCAUUCAUUCACAUUAAUAGAUUCCUUUGGGCUGUUCAUUUUAUUAAGGUACUUAUAUUUAUGCAGUAUAUGUUCAUCUGUACAUACUUCCUGUGAGGUUUGAUUUGUAGGUUUUUCUAUAGUUCAUCAAAACCUGCAAAAGAUAGAAGAUUGAUGGUAACAAUCCAUAUAACCCUUUCUUCACUUGCAUUUUCAACAGUGGGUGCAGACCAGAUAAAUAUAUGUAUUAAGUAUUAUCUUAGUGUGCCAUUUCACUUUUAUAAGCCCCUUCACCUUUUAAAAAAACUAUGAAAUUCAUUGUCACAAGAUGUGUUGACAGUUUAAAAGUUUUUAAAUUAUUUUUACCAUUAGUUCAUAAUAUAUUAGGCUAUAGUUGGGGGUCCGGGUGGGCAACAUGCAUCUGGAUAUAUUUGCCACACCAUUGUUUCUGUGUCCAGCUUUUGGGCUUUCUGGGGACAUUACUUGGCCACUGAAGAAAAGAAGAUUAGGGACUAGAUAAAUCUUUGUCUUAAUCCAGCUGAGCUCUUAGAAAGUUUUGAUGUUUAAUGAGUUGCUGCUGCUCCCUGAUAGCAAUGAAGGCAACAUGCAACAAGUCAGUUCAUUAUUGUGUAGAAGAUUUUAGCACUGUAUGUUCUAGGUAAGUAGUAGUAUUACCAUUAGUACACCCAGAUUUAUAGAGUUGGAAAAGAACUUGGAAUUACUCUAGUCCCCCUCCUCCAAUGGAUGUAGAAAGCAGGUCGUAAAUGCAACCCUAAUAACUAACUGGCAUUUGCCAGAAAUGGUAUAACUAUUAUCAUUAAAGAUCACACGGUCGAUUUUUGCACAGCAUUCAAUACUAAAAUGUUUUGCAUAAUGUAUAGCCUACAAUGUCCAAUCAUUGGUUCUUGUUCUGCCCUCUGAGACAUCUGUUCCACCUUCAACAGCAUAAAUCCAGUCAGCUAUUUCACAUGCUCCUCAUCAGUGUUGGUUUCCAGGCAAUAACUCAGCAGUUCAGUACAUGCUAUAGGGACAAAAGAGCACAGGUUCAGUCCCUCCUGUAGAAAUCCAGGCAGCGACUGCCAGUCUGUUUCAGCAAAUCUGGCCUGGAAUAUUCUAACUCAGUACAAAGCAGUAAAUCUGUCACCAACUGUCAGCUGAUUCUGCUAGAGUCUUAAGACAUAGCUGGCUAUUGAUUUUGUUCAUCAGUGGAUUGAGGUUCAUUCACCAAUGGCUGCAUAUGCAUGCAUCAGUAUGGAUUUAAUUUCCCAGCUGUUCUAUUUGCCUUUGUAAUCAAGAUUUGUAACAUGCCUUUCAUUGACAGCAAGACUCCAUGGCCUCCCCCUCUCUCCCAUGUAAGGAGUCGAGGCUUCUUAGCUGGGGCUGGUUGAUGCAGGUUACUGCUCUCCCUUCUUUAUUUCAACAUCCCCCCCCCCCAACUGCUGGGUACAGGACAGUCCUGCCAGAAGAGAAGGGCAGACAUGGGAAUUGGAUGCAGCUGUUCUUUGUUGUUACCUUGAGCUUCAGAGAACUUUCUUUCUCUUUCAUGAUUUAGAUGUGCUCAGCUUGUUUUCUCCCCAAAGCACACGGGAGUUGUCCAAGAACUGGAGGAGGAUUGCUGAAGGGAGGGAGGCUUCUGGGAUGCUAAGGCACACAGAUGGCCAGAUCCCAUGGCCUUCACCUUGCCUCGCAGCCGAAAAUGCAGGGAGGGUGGCCUUCCAGAUUUAGUUGGGCCUGUCCAGGUUGUAAAACAAAAACAACCUGCUUAGCUUCUGCUGAUGCUAAUCAGCCUAGCAACCUUGUAAAAGACAACUUUGCACAGCUGCCUGUGUUCUCCAAACCUACAAACAGUGAAUGAUAUAGCUACACUGGAGGCCCAGCUUUGUUAUUCCGCUCCAUACUUCCUCAAUCUGAUGUGCAUGGUCAGGCUGACCCGGAGUUCUGGGAAUUGAAGCUCCAAAAGGUCCAGAGGGCCCCAGCAUGGGGAAGGCCAUUCUCUACAUGUUCUAGAGGAAGCAACAAAUUGCCAGCCUCUCCACAGACCCUUAUUUGACUUUCUUCUCUAUUCUUCAGGCUAACAAUGUACAGCAGUGACUAUUAGCACAAAAAAGAAAGAAAGAAAGAAAGAAAGAAAGAAAGAAAGAAAGAAAGAAAGAAAGAAAGAAAGAAAGAAAGAAAGAAAGAAAGCACUUGAUUAUGGAGAAUUCUUAUAGAUGACAAUAUUUCUAUUCAAUUGAUGACAACUGUACUGGAUAUUCUGGAUGGAAAAAGGAAGCAAAUCCUGUGAUGGCAUUGAGGACCAAAUUGCAUGCAGUCUGAAGGACACAAGAAAGAGAAAUGAAUGUAAAAUAUUAGUUGGUUGUGAGGGUUGAAAAGAUAGAAACAAAAGGGAAUAUGACAACGGGGGGGGGGGGCAGUAGAAAAUCUGGUGCUUUCCACAUCUUGGAGACUACUGUUUUCUUAAGUUCUAAGUAAAGGAUCCAGUGAGAAGAUCUUAUAUAAUUUUUCAUCUGAAAAUAUCUGGAAGAUAAUAGGUUGCAUUUCUUGUAAACAUGUUUGUAAUAAAGUCAUUGGGCAUUUACUUGUUCUUGGGAAGAGAUAUGAAAAUAUUAAUGUCAUUCUUGAAAUUCUACGGCAGGUGUCAUGAAUAUUUGGGCCUUCAUUUAUUGCUGAACUACAUUUCCCAGCAAUCUCAGCCAAUGUGAACGAGAAUGAGCUAUGCUUGGAAUUUAGCAUUAUCUAGAAUCAUAUAUCCCCAGCUCCUAUCCCAGAGCCUUGAAAUGUGAUGUCUUCAUAGCCAAAUACAAUCAAAUUAUUAAACAAU